GAAUAAUGCAAUCAAAGCAAUACAAGGUGAGAUCAAUCUAGAGGAUGUUCAAAAGUUAAUGGAUGAUACUGCAGAGGCAAAAGCUUAUCAAGACGAAGUCAAUGCUAUUCUUGGAGAGAAGCUAUCUGCUGAAGAUGAAGAGGAAGUUCUAGCAGAAUUUGAGAAUCUGGAAUCUCAGUUAACACUUCAAGAUCUGCCAGAAGUUCCUUCUGCAAUACCUUCUGGUGAAAACGUUGAAGAGAAACUGGAUCUACCUGACGUACCAACUAAAGCACCAGUCGUUUCAGAAGCUGUUAUCGAGGACACUCAAGAUACUUCAACUGCCGUGUCUGUGCAAAAGAAAGUUUUGGAGGAACCAAUACCUGCUUGAUCCCAACGCAACGUGGUUUAUUCAUAAAGUUCGAAUGGAAUUUAUCAAAACGAGUAUCGAGUUUCAGAAUGCUAUACAAGUCUUCUCGAUGCUAAGAAUUUGUUAUCUUUCGACGUUUCUGUCUCAUCUCCUGUAAUUUGUGCAGAUUGUGGUUGUAAUUCUGGGGACCAGAUUUGUACAGUGCUUUCAUACUCAUAUCCUACUAGUUUCUUCUAAUUCUG
rnacentral:misc_RNA from 1 species